rnacentral:rRNA from 1 species
UCCGGUGGUCAUAUCCGAAAGGUCACACCUGUUACCAUCCCGAACACAGAAGUUAAGCUUUCGGAGCCGAUGAUAGUAGAUAAAUUGCGAAAGUAGGUACUGCCGGUU